ensembl:miRNA MIR642B microRNA 642b
GAGUUGGGAGGUUCCCUCUCCAAAUGUGUCUUGAUCCCCCACCCCAAGACACAUUUGGAGAGGGACCCUCCCAACUC